rnacentral:rRNA from 1 species
GACGAACGCUGGCGGCGUGCCUAAUACAUGCAAGUAGAACGCACAGUUUAUACCGUAGCUUGCUACACCAUAGACAGUGAGUUGCGAACGGGUGAGUAAUGCGUAGGUAACCUGCCUGGUAGCGGGGGAUAACUAUUGGUAACGCUAGCUAAUACCGCAUAAUAUUAAUUAUUGCAUGAUAAUUAAUUGAAAGGUGCAAUUGCACCACUACCAGAUGGACCUGCGUUGUAUUAGCUAGUAGGUGAGGUAACGGCUCACCUAGGCCAAGGUACAGAACCGACCUGAGAGGGUGAUCCGCCACACCGGGAACGGGACAACGGCCAGGCUCCCACGGGAAGCAGGCGUAGGGGAACUUUGGCAAAGGACGGAAGUCUGACCGAGCAAAGCCGGGUGGGUGGAGGAGGGUGUCGGAUCGGAAAGCUCUGUUGUAAGAGAAGAACGGGUGUGAGAGUGGAAAGUUCACACUGUGACGGUAUCUUACCAGAAAGGGACGGCUAACUACGUG